rnacentral:rRNA from 1 species
CAUGGAUAACUGUGGUAAUUCUAGAGCUAAUACAUGCAGCAAGCCUUGACCCUUACGGGCAAGGCGCAGUUAUUAGAUCAAAAACCAAUCGGUUGUGUCUUCGGAUGCAGCCGUUAGCUUGGUGACUCUGAGUAACCACAGCGAACCGUAUGGCCUCGUGCUCGACGGUCUGUCAGUCAAGCAACUGCCUUAUCAGCUUGUUGUUAGGUUAUAUGCCUAACAAGGCUUCAACGGGUAACGAACGAUCGGGGUCGGAUAUCGGAGAGGGAGCUUGAGAAACGGCUACCACUUCCAAGGAAGGCAGCAGGCGCGCAAAUUACCCACUCUCGGCAUGAGGAGGUAGCGAUAAAAUGUAUCGAUGCGGGGCCAUUAGUGCCUUCGUAAUCGGAAUGAGUACACUUUAAAUCCUAUAACAAGGACCUAUUGGAGGGCAAGUCUGGUGCCAGCAGCCGCGGUAAUUCCAGCUCCAAUAGCGUAUAUUAAUGCUGCUGCGGUUAAAAAGCUCGUAGUCGGAUCUGGGUUACCGGCGGGUACCGCAUGUUGCUUCACGCAGCAUGUUGUGUACUAUACGUGUCGCUUCGGCGGCACUGCCAGUGUAAUAGUGCCUCAUGUAGUCACGUUACGCUGGUCGCCGGAACCACGAGCCGGGUUGAGCAGCAUGCUCUUAAUUGAGUGUGUUGUUUACUCGGUGCGUUUACUUUGAAAAAAUUGGAGUGCUCAAAGCAAGCGUACAGUCGCUAUGCGGCUUGAACAGUGGUGCAUGGAAUAAUGGAAUAGGGCCUCGGUUCUAUUUUGUUGGUUUUAAGAUAUCGAGGUAAUGAUUAAGAGGGACAGACGGGGACGUUUGUAUUGCGACGUUAGAGGUGAAAUUCUUGGAUCGUCGCA